AAAUAACUUGCGUUAUCCUGGUUGAUGAUGGAGUUCCCAUCCUUGGAUAGGCCUAGAUCACUAGACCCAUAAAGGGGGGGUUCUCUAAACAUCAUAUACACUACAGCCUGCUAUACAAAUAUAUUUAUGGCAUCAGUACAGCUUUUUGUAAUGGUUCUCAUUGCACCCAAAAGUAGUAAUUCUCCUGCCACACUGAUAAAGCGGAGGAAAGUAUA